UUAUUCCAGACUCAAUCGAAGCCUUGUUAUGGGUGUUUGAAGCGUCCAAACUGUGCUUAAACGCAUUUUAGAACUGGAAAUGAAGACAGGAGCUCAGUCACGAUAUCAUUCAUUAUUUACUCGUCCGAUCUUUUGUGACCUUCGGAAAACUUUGGACAUCUUGGGUAACCUCGAAGAAAAAUGGAACGUUGUCGACCAUCUUUGGUUAUCCGACUAAUUCAACAAAUCGAGCACUGUCGAAGGAGUUAACCUUUGGAAAUCCCUCUGGUUCGGCGAAAAGAGCAUCUUCAGUAAUCUCUGAUAACCUCCGGGAAAAUCGAACAUUGUUGGACCUCUUCGAAAAUCCGACUAAUUCGGCAAAUCGAACAUCGUCGAAGAAAAGCCAAUAUUUGGAAAUCCGACUAAUUCGACGAUUAGAACAUCUUCGGUAACCUUCGGAUCGGUAACUCCGCGAAAAUCCGAGCAAUUCGGAAAAAUCGAAUACUCCCAAAGAAAACAAUCUUCAGAAAUUCGACUAUAUAAUUGGGCAAAUGAAACAUCGUCGGUAAUCUCUGGGAAAAUCGAACAGUGUCCAACAUCUUCGGAUAUCCACUAUUUCGGCAAGCUGAGCUCUGUCGAAACAUGUGCAGAAUAUCUUCAGAAUUCCGACUACUUCGGAAAAUUUCCCACCCUCUUGGUUUACACACUCGCCUUAAGGCUUGCGUUUAUACCGAAAAAAAUCAAAUGACUCGUGAGAUAUAUUUAUUCCAUAAGGGGUCACUGACUCACUCUUCCACCGUUUUGUUACUUUCCAGCCGCCAAAAUUCGUACAUUAUCCAUGUCAUCUGGAGCCCUAAAAAACUCAACCCAAGAAAAAAAAGUGGUGGGACUAUAGCCCUUCCUCCCCCUUUUCAUUUGUGGUUUUGUUCAUAUCUUUCAGAGCCUGAAAUGCGAUGCCAGUCAUCUCCCGCCCUUAGCUUAUCCGCGGGCGAUUAGACAUUUUAGGCCAACCUUUGAGCAUCUUAGGAGACCCUGGGCUAGGGGCAGUUAGUCGGGACGACGCGAUAUUUUCUGGCGACCCGAUAUUUUCGGGCUAAAGUUCACUCCUUGAUGUAAACUUUCGCCCGAAAAUAUCGCGUUCUCCGAAAAUAUCGCGUCGACUAGCUGCCUCUGUGUCUCCAAAGAUGACCUACAGCAGGUCCACGCCUCUUGAGCCGACUGCACGAGAGGAAGACCAGCAGUUUCCUUCUCAAAUUCAAGAUGGCGGACGGUUAUUGCUGUCCUGCAAGGAAUGUGAUAAAAAUUGCUGUUUGCACAAAGGGAGUAUUUAUUCUUUUUUCUUUAAAGUAAAAAUAGGCCGAAGUAUAAAUCCUUUUAUGUUGUUUUUUCGAAUACAAUUCCAGCUUCCUCAACGGAAAAGGGCUGGAAAACGUGCGCCGUCACGGUACUACCUUCUUGUCUGAAGGUCAGUCGGAGCAAACUCUUGAAGAAGUGGUAAAAUCUAUCAAGCACGUGUUCUUGUUUUGUCCGGUGAAGGAGGAGUUGGUAAAAGUACUGUUUACGACACAGAUAGCAUGGACUCUUUACAACAAAGGAAAGAAGGACAUAGGUUGGCAUACUGGAUGUUGACUUGCAUGGACCAAGUAUGCCAAGGAUGAUGAAUGUAGAGGGAAAAGAUAUAUACCAGUGUUCUGCUGGUGGCUCAUUACAGGAGAGUUCCUUGUCUCCAGUGUGAUAGCAAGAAACUGACUUGAAGUAUUGCUGCAGCUUCUUCUGCAUGGAUGCUGGUCUGUCAGGGGCCACUAUCCCACUUCCUUGGAACUUUUGUGGCAAUGAUCAGUCAGUUUCUAUCGGAUGUGUGUUGCAGUGACCUGGAUUGCCAGAUUAUUAAUACAUCUCCAGGUAUGACAACAAUACAUAAUAUGUUAUUUUCAGAGGCUUGUGAUGUACUGAUGUGUGAGGUACAGUGGCCCAGUGGUUAUUGUCGUACACUCCAGAUCAAUAGGUCUGGAUUCAAGGCCUGUUCAUGAGUCUUUGUACUGCGUUCUUAGGUGAGAGACUUGACUUGCAAUGCCUCUCAUCACAUAGGAGGAGAAAUGAGUACCAACAAGUUGUUUGGCAACCUGAACUGCAAAAAUAUGGGGAUUAACUAGGGGGUAUCCAGCAAUAGGCUCGCUCCCCAUUAAGGAGACUGAGGGAGA